CGAUGAACCACUUCGGUGGGGAUUAGUGGCGAACGGGUGAGUAACACGUGGGCAAUCUGCCCUUCACUCUGGGACAAGCCCUGGAAACGGGGUCUAAUACCGGAUAUGAGCCUGGGAGGCAUCUCCUGGGUUGUAAAGCUCCGGCGGUGAAGGAUGAGCCCGCGGCCUAUCAGCUUGUUGGUGAGGUAAUGGCUCACCAAGGCGACGACGGGUAGCCGGCCUGAGAGGGCGACCGGCCACACUGGGACUGAGACACGGCCCAGACUCCUACGGGAGGCAGCAGUGGGGAAUAUUGCACAAUGGGCGAAAGCCUGAUGCAGCGACGCCGCGUGAGGGAUGACGGCCUUCGGGUUGUAAACCUCUUUCAGCAGGGAAGAAGCGCAAGUGACGGUACCUGCAGAAGAAGCGCCGGCUAACUACGUGCCAGCAGCCGCGGUAAUACGUAGGGCGCAAGCGUUGUCCGGAAUUAUUGGGCGUAAAGAGCUCGUAGGCGGCUUGUCACGUCGAUUGUGAAAGCCCGAGGCUUAACUUCGGGUCUGCAGUCGAUACGGGCUAGCUAGAGUGUGGUAGGGGAGAUCGGAAUUCCUGGUGUAGCGGUGAAAUGCGCAGAUAUCAGGAGGAACACCGGUGGCGAAGGCGGAUCUCUGGGCCAUUACUGACGCUGAGGAGCGAAAGCGUGGGGAGCGAACAGGAUUAGAUACCCUGGUAGUCCACGCCGUAAACGGUGGGAACUAGGUGUUGGCGACAUUCCACGUCGUCGGUGCCGCAGCUAACGCAUUAAGUUCCCCGCCUG
rnacentral:rRNA from 2 species